CAUAUACAUUUAAAUCUUUACCUGUAUGCAUGCUAUAGCAGUUGACUUUUUAAAAGGCCAUUAAUAUGUAAAAAGGUCUGGGUUUAUAUGAAAGGAUUUGAAAGAGAAUGAGAAAUGUAAUUAUAUUAUGUUGUCAAAAACAAAGCAAAAACAUUUUUUAUAAAAGGCCAAAAGUUGACCUCAGUUUUUCAGGGCUGAGCACAUUGUUUUUCUAAGCUCAGUGUGCGCUUACAUGGGAUCGUGUUGAGGCCAUGAACACGUCAGCUCUCUGGGGACAGAAUAACCGCACAGAUUUGCAUUUUAAGAUUUCCCUCUGCCUUUAAAAUACUAAAUAGAAUCUUUUAAAACAGGAUUUGUUUAUUUUACCUAUAUGUACAUGUGCAUGUAUGUGUGUGUAUUGUGUGUGUGUGUUGUGUGUGUAUCUGUGUGUAUCUGUGUGUAUUUGUGUGUGCGUGUGUGUCUGUGUGCGCUUCUGAAUGUAUGUAUAUGCAUCAUUCAUGCACGUGUCUUUAGAGACCAGAAGUAAUCAGUAAAUUCCCUAUAACUGGAGUUCCCUGCAGGUGUGAGCUGCCAUGGGAACUAGAUGAGGCUCCUCUUCAAGAGCAAAAAGUGCUUUUAACUGCUGAGUGAUUGCUCUAGUUCUGUUUAAUCUUAAUAUAAUAUUUAUUAUAAAGGAGAAAAUAUACCUCUACUCUGUCACUUCACAAACUUUAUAAACUUUAUAAAUUUGUAUUUUUAUUAUGUUCAAUAUUUGAUUUUUAAUUUGCGGCUCAGAGUGCAAUCUAAAGAGGAAGAAAAUAUUUUGAAAUAGGUUAAUAUUUUAAAAAAAUGUUUUAUGGUUAUACCUUGAGGUCUGCCAGAUGCCCAAUUGUAAGUUUAAUGUAAAAGAUUUCUCAGCUCCUUCCGGGAAGUUUCUUUGAGUAGAAAGCGUUUAUUGCUCUGUCCUUUGCUUUUCUUUCCCAAGGGCAGAAUCUUUCCUUGUAGGUAUGGAAUGGUUGCACUCACUAUGUAGGUCCUGAACACGCAGGCAUCCUCCUGCUUCAGUCUCCUGGAUGCUGGAUUACAAGUGCUGUGCCAGCACUCGUAGGUAUAUUUUGAUCCUAAAAAAAAAAAAAAAAAAAAAACAACAACACACACACACCAAACAAACAAACAAACAAACAAACAAAAAACAACAAAAACAACAACAACAACAAAAAAACCAAAAACCAAAGUGUGCUCAUUUAAGUUCAUUCUAUAAACACAUGCUUUUAGGGUUUUGUUUAAUUUGGUAAAUACUUUGUUCUUUCUUUAUCUUUGAGAUUCUAUUAUGAUUACAGUCUCCAUUUCCAUUGUCUCUUUCCAAAUCUUCCCACAUGCUCCUUUUGCUCUUUCAAAUUCAUGGCUUCUUUUCCAUUAAUUGUUACUUGCAUACACACAUGCAUACAUAGACAUAUAUUCAUAUACAUCCCCAAAUGUAAAUCUGUUCAGUCUGCAUAGUGGUACUUGUAUGAAUGGUUCCAGUACUUAGCACUUGGUAGUGUAUGCUUUGUACUGAUCACUUGGUACUGUGUGCUUUUCCCUGGGGAAGGGUGUUUCUCUCACUCCUUAUUUGCCUGUAGUUCUUGCUAAAUGUCUUCUCUUUCACUGUUAUUUAUAAAUAAAAUAUAAGAUCUCUUAUAAUGUAUACAUAUAAUCUGUUAGUAAUUUCACCUUUAAAAAUUCUGUCACAUUUACAUUUACACUAAUUUUACCUUGAAUAAAAUUAGAACAUCUAAUAGUUAUUUUGAAACUGAUAAGAUUUUCAUAUGUAAAGUAAAUAAAAUUUACUUUUCAAACUGAGAAAAUAGCAAACACACACAUACACACAUACAUGCACACACACAUACUCACAUACACACAAACACACCACACACACAUACACCCCAAUACCCUUUAAUUUGGUUACAAUUUCAUGUUUUCUUGUUUUGAAAUAAUAUCUAAUUCCUUUUAAAUGAUUGUAUGAAAUUAUCUUUAUUUCUUCUUAUGCCUUUCAAAAACAAUGAAAUUGGAUAGUUUAUUCAAACUCAAUUCAAGUUAAUUUUAUUCUUUGAUGUAUACCGUAUAUUUCUGUAUAUAGAUUAAUCACAAUACUUGGCAGAAAUAAUACUUUCCUACCCUUUAAAUUCACAUGAUGUUUCUUAGCAAGCUGGUUAAUGUACUGGAUGCUAAAUAUGUAUCUUACAAAUAUAUAUUUCAUAGACAUACACACACCUACAUGAAAUUUAUACUUCAUAAUUUGGUUGAUUACUAAGCAUAUUUUGUUUUAAAUAAAAAUUACAGAUUUGAAACAGGCUUUUAAAAUAAAGCUGCUCCCUUCUUAAAAUAAAUGUUCUACUAAAGCGCUUCCUGACAGGAAUGAUUUCUUAGCAGUUUAUUAUAAAUUCACUGUAUUUUAUACCAUAAGUUUAAAGUCUACCCAAGAGAGGAUCAGACACUCAAAUAAAUCCUCCUCAUAUUUAAUUGCCUAACAGAGUUAGUAAGUCUGCAGAGCAUUGCAGUAGAAUAUUCAUAUAGCAUGUUUAUGUACACAGCAUACUGAUAAGUAUUUUAGAGUAAAAGCUGCUUUGUUUCCUGCAGGGCCCUCUUUCCCUUCAACCCCUUCACAGUUCCUAUAACCUUGCUGUGUUCCUAAGUUCGAAUCCUUGGUCUAUCUCUCUGCCCUCUCACCUUUCUCCAGAGAGCACAGAGAAACCCCAUGAUUUGUUAUCACCAUUAGGAGUACUGUUCACAAUUUUGCCAUCCCUCCCGACUUCCACCUGCAUGUCCGAGAGCUUAUGUGAUUUUCCACUUGGAUGCCCAGUUGUCACUACAUUAUCUGUGUUUAACUGAACUUAAUAACCAUGUGACUCAUGGAGGCUUUCAGAUUUUGCUUAUAUAAUUCUCUCAGUCAUUAGCUCUAUCCUUUAAGGCACAUCUAAGGAGAGACCCACUAGACACAACCCCACUUCUGUGGUUCCUAUGACGUUAGUAAGGAACCCAAGCUUUUGACAUUCUCAGUCUUGGUACAGAGUCCUAAGACUCUGUUAUAUGUAUGAGAGAGAUCCAAUGCACAGAAUUCUUUAUACAAAUGCUACUUCUGGUUUUGCUAUACUAUAUAAAAAUAAAUGAUUGGGGAAUGUAUGUGCUAGACCCUAGUGAUGUGUGAGAAAUACAUCAUUUGACUUUGUAGAUUUAAAUGUUUCUAUGGUCAUUACUUCGUAUUUUACUGUCCCCCACUUUCCUGAAAAUCAGCUUCUGUGAAUGUAAAGACGAAGCAAUUCUAAUAUUUGACAAGUUUGAAUAAUUUCUUAUUAAGGUAUGGCAGGGAAUAGCAGUACAUAAAAUGUUAUUUUAUGGAGGUAAGAUUUGUUGAUUUUGUACGAUGGUCAAUUUUAAGUUAUAAUUAACUCUACUAAGCAUUUCCCUGAAUUAUACAAGUAUGACACAAUAAUUUCCCUUUAGGUUGAAUUCUGCAUAGAUGAAGAUUAGUUAUUUUUUUAUUAAUUCCUUUUAUCACAGUAUGGCUUUCUUUUAUGCUUAAAGUAGCAUUUCUUCCUCUUUUUUUCCUAUUGAAUCCAAGAAAAGUUUUUAGUGAUUGAAAUUUUUCUAGCUCUGUAUUAGUCCCUGCCUAACCGUGUAGGCUCUUGUCAAUCUCCGUGUUCCUUAAUCACGCACCUAGCUGGCCAGCACAUAGCUUAUGUUAGCUCCGUGUCUCAUUGUUUUGGUUUACAGAAUUACUGGCUCUUCAUGGUGAGAAAGUUCACAGUCUAAUUCGGAUCCUACUGUCCAGAAAAAUGGCUUCAAUUGUCCUCCAAAUCCAGCUUUAUGAACUAGUCCUAGACCCUAACUAAUAGCCUUUUCUAUUAACUGCUAAGUGAGGCAGCUGUCUGAGCUGCUGGUUGUAAAUUUGCUCAUGUCUAUUUCUCUAACUCUGCUGCAAAACGCAGCAGAGAACAGGAUCACAGUUCCCGAACCUCUAUUUUCACAGCCCAAACUGAGCCCCAAAGGGCUGAUGGGAAAAGUUUGAAGAGGUGCAAGGAAGCAUUUGUUACCUUGGGGGAAAAGGGAUGGCUCUUGCCAUUAAUCUUAAUUAAUUGCCAAGAAUUUUAAAUCUGAGUUAUUAAUACUGAUGUUGAGCCCUUAAUUUGCCAUUCGUGCCUUGGUAUCAAGUAGUGUUUUAUGAGAUAAGAAUUUUAGGAGGCAGAGAAGUGUGUGUGUGUGUGUGUGUGUGUGUGUGUGUGUGUGUGUGUGCGCGUGCAUACACUCUCAUGAGUGUACCUUAUAUAAUUUUUUUCAUUUAUAUCUUUCCAGUAUUAACUUAGGUUAAUAUUCAGGCCUUCACCUUUUGACAGUUGCUGUGAGCAUGCAGAAAUGAUGAGCAAGUAACAAUAAACCCAAAUAAAAACUCUAGAUACAGCAGAAGCAGUAAGUCUGAGUAAUGUUACUUUCAUGGUUACCUGAAUACUAAAUAGCUCACUGAUGUCAGGGUAGAUGCCAGAUUGUGGGGUGACAGAAGGCUGAGGAUCAGAGCUAGAGUAAGGAAGAGGAAAAAGACAGAAGAAAGCAGAUGAAGAAAGAAGAAAUAUUAUUUCUCUGAACACUAUUUAAGAAAUCAGGACAUGACAGGCUUGUUUCGAUAAAAGACAACAAAUGAUGCAUUUUUAACUUUUGCAGUCCUGAUCAUAUCUGAAGUAAAUAAACUUAUUCUUAAAAUCCCCUCUCCCUUCCUUCUGAAACUUACUGUUAACUUUUACCUCUUACCCUUUACGUUUGUGGCAGCGUUCUGUGUUACUUUUCAAUGACAAGUUAUAACUAACAACUUAUGAUAUUUAUUAGCAUUUCUGGCUGCCAAAAAUGGCAUGUAAAUCUUCAAGGGAAGAUCUUUCAAAACUAGAUAGGACUAUGAACUUCUGAGAUAAUUUUUCAGGAUUGUUCUCCAUGUGUUUGGAUUAAAAAAAAAAAACAGUGGCAAUAUAUAUACACGAAUGGCAAAUUAAGGGCUCAACAUCAGUAUUAAUAACUCAUAUAUAUAUAUAUGUAAUUUAUGGAAUAAUUGUAGCUCUCCUACAUAGACCUUGAGCUGAUAGAAGUGACUUAAACUUCAGAAGUAUGGUUUGUUCUGGGGUGGGGGUAGGGGGGCAGGCAUUGUUGAUGGUGAACAGAUUUAGAGCCACAAAUUGGAUGUUGAAGUAGAUGGUAUUAUUUUGCAGUGUUUUAUUUCUUUUUAUGAGUGCUUUACAUAGAACAUAGAAAAAAUACAGAAAUGAAAUAUUCUAUUCAUUCAUCUCCUGGCUUAAUUUAUAUACAGUAACUAUUGCAGAUGUAAAAGCCCUCUGAUGCCAACAGUGUAGAUUUAAUUUAUAGGCUCUGAAGAGCCCACAAAAGUUUCGAAUGGUCAGUGAUCACACACUACAAAGGAGGUUAGGACUCUGCUCUCGGAAGCCUCUCAGAUUGAGGUGUGCAGAGGAAAUGGUUUUUUCUUUUUUUCCUCAGCCUCUACUGAUGGGUUCUGCAUUCAUCAGUAGUCAUUCAUUAUGAGUUAGUACUAGCAAGAAAGCCUGUGGUACUGCAGCUCUGUUGGUUUAAGACAUCAGCAGAUGCUUGUAGAAGACAGCAAGUGAUAUAGGUCUUUUUUAGAACACCAGUUUGGUUUAGGAACUGAGACUAUUAUGGAUCCACAGUUGCACACGUUUUUUUGUUUUUUUGUUUUUUUUUUUGGUGUUUAGAGGCCUCUUUCCUUGUUUCUUGGGAAUGUUUGAGUGAAUCACUAAGGCUCGGAAUUUCUGGAUUCCCAGCUGCUUGAGUGGCUGGGUGGCUGGGUAGCUAGUGUAGAGAAGCAGGGGUUGCAGUUCCUGAGGGAGUUUAUGGCUCUUUCCAGAGGAAGGAUUUAGAGCCCCACUUCAGCCAGGAGCUAAGUAUCUAUGCCAUCUUUGGUUUAUCUAAUAUUCUAUCUCAUUUUUGUCUCAAUAGUCUCAGCGUUAAGCAUCAUAUCAGUACCAUUUAGGUAUGGAAAUAAGGAGAUGCUGAUAUUCACUACGUUCUUCAGCGUCUCACUGUUGGAAAGUAGUCAGGCCUAGACUGCUUAAAUUCAGGUUCUUUGAUUUCUCAUUCAACAAGUAUGAUGUACUUCCGUACUAAUUUUAUUUGUUUGUUUGUUUUUGUUUUGUUUUGUUUCAGUUUUGUUGUUAUCGCUGUAUAAUCCUGAACUUGCAGCAAUCCUCCUGCCUCAGCCCUCCUAGGAUUAUAAGUCUAUGCCGCCCCAUCCAGUUCCAAGCUGUCAUUUUACAGAACAUUUGGUAUUUUGAACAACUACCUGAAUGAGGACCAUUCUAUAGGUGGGGAGGUGCUUUUAAACUUUAGGAAUUUUUUUUUGAAUUUGAUUCUCCUGCCAACUAAAUCAUCAUUACUGAGGAACUGCAUUUGUCAUGCAUGCAGAAUGCAUGCAUGUUACUCUAGGAUAUACAUAUAUACUUUAUUUAAUUUGUGUGCAUUGAUUAAUAAAAUUGAAUGAAUCAAUUUGCAACCCAGGGGCAAUGGAUUCCACAGGAAGUUCAUAAGGUAGAAUAAGGAAUAAUUGAACCAAGAUGGAGCUUAGCAGUUGUGUGAUUUAAUGCCUUUGACUAUAGUUUGACCCAUACUUUUAAUUCCCAUAGGAGACAAAGAGCUAGUGCACACAGGAAGCACAAGCUCUUUUCUAUGUGGGCACAGAAAACAAGGAGUCGGGAAGGAGUCUUGUUAGAAGAAGGCAAAAUUAAUGCCGCUCUAAUACCAUAUGCAACUAGAAAGACUACUUCCUGGGAGCCUGGGGAUCCGUGAUUUCUACACGGUCACUGAUUUGUGUCAGUCUAGCACAAGUUUCUAAUCCGGCUGUCCCUUGGGGUUUUCAUUUGUGUAGAGUCUGAAAAGAUCACACACACACACACACACACACACACACACACACACACACACACCACAUAAAUAUAUGCGCACAUCCGCACACAUACACCUCUCUUUUGGAUGUGGAUGUGAACUUGCCUUCUUAUUUUAUAUUUUAAUAUGAAAACUAAACAAGACAACUCUAUGCAAAGGACCUUGUCCUGUUUUGCUCCUGGUGGGGAUCCCUGGACCCUAUUCAUCACCUCUCAGAAAGGAAGCUUUUAAGAGAAUUUAUAUUGGCAAAAAUGUAGUUUGCUAUCAAAGUAGCACAUAUUUACUCAUAGUAAUAAAAAUUUUCCUAGGCUAUCCAUGGUUAGAAAAAAAUAAACAUUUUUCCAUAACAUAUAAGCCUGAAAAAUGGCAUGCGCUCCCCAUAAUAUGCAGAAAUCUGCUAAGUGACUCUCACAAAGCCACAAUUCUAGCUCCAUGGUGGCCUUUAUGUGCCACUGUUAGGCUUUAAGAUAAAUUGAAAAUAGCUACAUAUGGAAGGAAGUUAAGGGGAUGAAGAUUUAAGAGACCCAUAUAGCUAAUUGUAAGCUAACGUUCUAUUUUUAUAACAUCGCUCCUUCUUCAUGAUUUUCCUAAAAAAAAAAAAACACCCUUAAUAUGUGAUAUUGGAUUAUUAUCACAGUCAUUUGAUAGGUUGUGAUUUGCUACUGUGUGUCUGAAAAACACAAGCUUUCCCUUUAUGUAAUAGUUGUUCACAAAAGGGCACUAACAUGUCCCUGUCAUUAAAUAUAUAUAGAUACAUGGAGCUACUCUCCCGUUGGGUCACACUAAAAUUGAUUUUUCCAAGCAGGGCUAACAAUACUAGACAAAUGUUAAAUGAAAAUCAAUCACUGUGAUUUAAAUUAGAUAAAUACACUCCUUUUAUUAAGUGGUCUUUCCCCAUACAGCUAACUGGAUGACAGAUAACAUUCAUUGCAGAGUUUGACCUCUAGGCCCAGGUUUCAAUAAAGCUCUAAGGAGAACGGCUUGCUUGUGAUUUUAUUCUUUAUCAUGCUUACCUUACUCUUGAUCAAUUAGAUGAAACAUGUUUUUUUUUUAGAUUGUUUAUAAGUUGAAAAAUACUAAUUAACUAUAUUUCCCUAGGCACUUAAUAUUAAAUACAUGUAAUGCUUCAUUAAGAAUAGGACACUAGGCUAGUUUUAUCAGGGCAAAACUUUAGUUUUAAACAAGUAAACAAUCUAAAAUCCAGAAGUUACCAUGACAUUAAGUGCAGUGAGUGAUAAUCAUAUUUAUGUAGAGGCACUGUGAAAGCAGAGUUCAGAGGUCAAAACCUGAAGAAAGCACUCAGGAAGUCCAAGGACACGUUCUAAGGACAUUAACAAACACAGCCAUCGUGACUAUUGUCACUGUCAAUGCCAAGAAUAAAGGAAGUCAAUCUUAGGAGUUUGGUGUGCCAGACAGACACUCUUCUAGGGACCUUACAUAUAUUAAUUCUUAAAAACAACUCAUUGUGAAGGAUCUUAUCCCUAUUUUAAAGCUAAAACAGCCAAGGCAGAGGAAAGUCAGGUGAGUUACCAAAGUCUUGCCAAUGGGUGAAAUGAGUGAAUUGGACUUCAUAUGGGUUGUAAAAUGUAAAAAAAAAAAAAAAAAAAAAAAAAAAGAAUAAAUUUUUAUUUAUACUUUAAAAUUUAUUGAUUGCCUAUACAUAAAUGACCAGUGGUUUUGAACCCAGUGGCUUGCUUCCUGGUAUUGGCCCAUGGAUUCAAUUGGAAGAGUAUAGUGAAGUGAAAUUUAACAAUUAACAAAUGAAGGGUAGGUAGCAGUGAACUGUUUCAAUAAAGUAGGAUGCCCCACCACCAAAUAUGAGACAUUUGAAGCAGAAACUCUGAGUGUCUUAAUAUGUUACUCAGCUGUAAAUAUUUGGGUAAAAAUAUUAAUUGUAGACUUUGGAAUUACCUAUGGAUAUCAUAAAGGGGCCAGGAAUAACGAUAAGGCCUAUGUACUUACUUCUUUAAAAGGAAUAGAAUAUAGUAAAAGAAAAGGUUACUCUUAAUAUGGAACUAUCAAAAUAGAUGAUUUGUUCCCAAUCUAGAACUGCAGAGGAAGAAGGAAGAACUCCACUUGAAGGUUUGGCUUUCCAUCCCAGUUAUAGUUUUCAAAUAGCAAAGCUCUCGUUCUCACUUAUAGGAAAAUCAUAAGUUUCCGUUUGGAUAUUGAUUAGUGCCAUCAUAUAACUUACCACUUGUGAUUCUUUCUUGAAAUCUGCUUGUCAGAGUAUUUCCCCAUCAUCUGAGACCUCAGUUAAAUUUAUAUUGAGUUUGUAGCUUAUUUGCAAGGCCAUUCUUUCUACAAACGUGGGCUCUCAUUUUGACCUAUGGCAUAACUGACUGCACCCGUCAAAGGUAACUCCUUAUCUGUCUGAUAGUGGCAUGCCCACCAUCCUCCUACAUCCUACAAAGCUCUAAGUCUGAGAUGGUUACUAAAAUGUCCUUUCAUUUUCAUGAAAAUUGAGGCAAGCAUACUGUCAGUUUCUCUUUUAAAGAUGUAUGUAGGAGUUCAUGCUUAAACAUAGGAAUUCUGGCCUCCUCGUGGGAGGUUCAUUGGUACACAGCAAGUGCAGAGCCCUGCAGUGAGCAGGCUGCCUCAUGUUUCUCAUAGUCCAUGGGUGGCCAAGGAUACCCACUAAUGGUAUUCUUCCAGAACCAGUGUUGUUAAGCACACACUUUGAAAGAUUUUCAUGGCAUGGUGUGGUAAUGCUAUUAAUUAUUGAUGCUAUUAAUUUUGCUAAGAAAAUGCCUUUGUACUGACUUGCAGAAAACAGAGAAUUCCCUUGCUUCAAGGAUGCCAUUCUUGGUAUAUCUUGCAUAGACACAAUUGUAUUAGUUUAUCCAAAGCAAUGAUAAGACUAUUCAAUCAUAGACAUAAGAAAAAGAUUUAUGACAGGCAUGGUGGCUCAUUCCUGUAAUCCCAGAACUAAGGAGGCGGAGGUAGAAGGAUCGUCUUGGGUUCAUGGUCUGGUUGGAUUACUCGAAGAUUACUCAAUGCUUAAGAGCACUGGCUGCUCUUGCACAGGACCUGGGUUCUCUCAGCACCCACAUGGCAGCUCACAAUCCAUAGCUGUCUGGAACUUUAGUUCCAGGGAAUCUAACACUUUUUUCCUGGUCUUUCUGGGCACCAGGCAUUUAAGUGCUGUACAUAUGCACACACAGGCAGACAUCUCUCCAUGAAAAAAAAAAAAAAAAGACAGAAGAAAAGAAAAAUAUGUAAUUUACAUCUUAAAAACUCAAGUUAUUUAUAGUAAGUACUUUUUUUUUCUUUUCACUUACAUAAUCUGCUAUUUUGUUUCUUUCUCUAGUUCUCUUCAUAUUACUUUUGAGAGUAAACCUGAAGCUCACCAACUUAACAAGGCUAGCUGUCCAGAAAGUGCAGGAACCACCCAAUUGCCUCCCCAGGUCUGGAGUAAUGGAGAGACCUUCCAUCUCCCUCCCUAGCUCCGGGGUGAUGGAGGAACCUCCCAUCUGCCUUCUUAGCACUGCGAUGAUGGAAGGACCUCCUGUCUCCCAGUGCCUGGGUGAUGGAAAGAUCUCCCAUCUGCCUCCCCUGCGCUGGGGUGAUGGAGGGAGCACCAAUCUGCCUCCCCAGCACUGGAGAUGGAGCGUGCACCACUUGGCUCUGCUCUGCUUCUUAUGAAGACAUGUGGGGCUAAAACUCAGGACUGUAAGCCUGUGUAGAAACCACUUUACCACCUGAGAUGCCUUCCCAGCCAGGGCUAGAAGUUCAUUUGGUUUGGUUUGUUUGUUUGUUUUAUUUUAGUGUAAUGGAAACAGUAAGGUUUACUAACAGAAAGCAAUCUAGGUCUCGCCUUGGCCAUCUUUCCCAGGAAAGAGCUUGGUUUAGGAGAGGAUGGAAAUUUGUUUCACACCUGGCUGCUCCUUAUUCCUUCUCUCACCAGAGCCUCAUGAGGUGUAGGUUAGAAAUGACCCAACAGCCAGCAGGUGGCAAAGGCUACCAUCAGCCUGCCCCACAUAGCAAAGCUUUCCUUUAUAUGCUUAUAAUUCACCAAGGAGCAGUCUUGAGGCAUCGAGGAUGCUGAUUGUCUGUGUCUGUGCACAGCAUCUGCCAUUUAUAUUUUUAGGAUACACUGUACUUUUCCAGGGAGUACCCUCUAAGGAUUGUCGUAGACACUGACAACCAGCUGACCUCAGUCAGUGACAGCUACUGCAGUUGAAUCCAGCUCUUGUCACCAUCGAUGACUUCCAUCGGACACUGUAUCCCGGCCAUCUUUGCUUAGUGGACACAUAUGUUCAUUAGAGUAACUCCUGCCUCUCACCAUCUCCUUAAUAGAUAGCUCCUACGUGUUGCAGACAUGUAACUGUCGUGGAACAAUGCACCACGCCCAUGUGAUUUGCUCUUCUCCUGCUGCUUAUGAGCAGUCCUGUCUGCUCUCUUGUCUCCUUUCUCACGACGUUGAAAUACAUUUCACAGCUAAAUUGAUGAAUUUUCAUUAUGCCACUCCUCAGUUUCAAAGGAGAUGAUCUUCCUUAGUUUCAAAGUCAUAGCCUGACAUUUAUUAAGGAGUAAUAUUUUCUGAACAUAAAGCAUGGCCAGUGGAUUUGAGUCUCUCUUUUUUUUUUUUUUUUUUUUUUUUUUGUCCUGCUAUAACAUCCUGGAGAGCUAGAGGAGAAAUCAGAGAACCAGCAGUAGUGCUGACACAGGAGAUCCUGACUGUAAAUCACCCACAGAACCUUAACGUCUAUAUCCAACCUUUGCUCUAAGCCAACCGUCUCCCUUUCAUCUCCUUUCUUCUUCUGCCUUAUCACUCCACCUCUCCCUUCAUCACUUCUCUUCCACUCAACUGAGCUGCUGAAGUGGAAGUGGAAGAGAUCUCCUUGGUGGUUUUAAACUUUAAAUCUAGAGUUGUCAUGAUAGUGUGUGUUAUUGAAUGCAUUGAUCAGUUCCUUUGCUACAGAUAUUGGCAUCUGAUACAUCUGACUGUUUUAUUUUUGUUGGUUUUUUAUUAUUAUUUUUAUUAGGUAUUUUCUUCAUUUACAUUUCCAAUGCUAUCCCAAAAGUCCCCCAUACCUUCCCCCCCACACUCCCCUACCCACCCACUCCCACUUCUUGGCCCUGGCGUUCCCCUGUACUGAGGCAUAUAAAGUUUGCAAGACCAAUGGGCCUCUCUUUCCACUGAUGGCCGACUAGGCCAUCUUCUGAUACAUAUGCAGCUAGAGACACGAGCUCCAGGGGGUACUGGUUAGUUCAUAUUGUUGUUCCACCUAUAGGGUUGCAGAUCCCUUUAGCUCCUUGGGUACUUUCUCUUGCUCCUCCAUUGGGGGCCCUGUGAUCCAUCCAAUAGCUGACUGUGAGCAUCCACUUCUGUGUUUGCUAGGCCCUGGCAUAGCCUCACAAGGGACCCUGAUAUAGACAUCUGACUAUUUUGAGUUUUGCCUAAGACCCUUUUUGUUGAUAUCUGUUAUGGUUCCUCCUUUCCCGGCUUAGGAGACUUAUCUAAACUUAAAAAAAACAAACUAACAAACAAACAUAUAGUUAGUUCGUGUGUGUGCAUGUGCGUGCAUGCCUGUGUGGGUGUGAGUGUGAGUGUAUGUGCGCAUAUGUGCUCCUCCCACAUUCCCAAGUGCCACAGUGUGAAUGGGGAGGGCAGAAGACAACAUUUCAGAGUUAGCUCUCUCCUUCAGCCCCGUGGGCUCUAGGGAUGGUUGUCAGGCGUGGCAGCAGGCACAUUUGACCUCUGAACCAUCUUACAGGCUCCAGGACAGCAAAUCCAAAGUGAACUUUUGAAUUUUUUUUUUUUUUUUUUGGUGUCUUAACCUGACACUUUAAGAAAACCAAGUGUGAUGCCUGAAGUUUAGAACAGCGUGGUUUUUGAAUGUGCCGUGGUUCACCCUAGCUUUAUCGUCAGAAGCACAGAGUCAAACGCUGCCUUCCUGAUUUACUGGUGAUUGGCCUGGGGCAACAUAGAUCUUUGUUUUAGAACAGACUUUGUCAACUGAAGCUCCAUCAUCUUUGAACCCCAGAAGAGAGGCAAUGUUCUAAGAGAUUCUUCUUGGUUUUCUCAGAGAUGCCACACGGCCAGUCCAAGGCCUGCUUGAGAGGGUGGUUUCUAUGCAGACCACACAUCUUUGAGCAUCCAGUCUUCAUGCUCUCAGGAACCUGGCUUAGACAGGCUGAUGGGGACAAAUUUAAUUUUCUACCAUAUUCUUUCUACCACUACUUUUUUCUCAUAAAUUGAAAAAAAGAUUCAGUCUUACAAUAUAGAAACAAAUGCAGAGAAGUGGUAUUUUCUUAUUUUUUAAUUCCCCCAUUAGUAUCAAAUGACAAGGUGUUUCCUAUGAAGCUAAAAUUAUUUUCUCAAAUGCCUAUUUUCUAUAAGAACUUUUUUUUGUAUUCAUAAUGAAUAGGGCAGAGCUAUUUUAACUUAGACUGACUCCUAACUGUAUUUGUGAAAUUAAGCUCCUGGCUACAUUAUGCUUGGGGAGAGAGUCUUUUUCUGAGUUUUGGAGUAUCUGCAGGCAAGGUUUUUGAAAGCCGAUCCUGGUUAUUGUGCAUGCCUGGACAUUCCCCUUAAAUUGUAUCCUCACUCAGAAAUGACCUUGUUAGGUGAGGAGGAAUGGCAAGAGAGACACGCCGUGCCUCAUGAGAGCCAAGUGGAGCCAUGCGUAUCAGGAGCAGACACUAACGAUUUAUUGUCUGUGGCAAAGGAAACACAGCUCUCGGCCCGUGCGGUGAGACACCUAAAUGUACUGGAAGAAGAUGCCAGAUGGACACAAGAAACCCCAGCAGCUGGAAUACUGAAUUAUGUAACAACAACAACAAAAAUGUAUCUUGGUCCUAUCCUACACCGAGGAUUUCAAAUUAGGGGAUGAUGUGUUUAUAAAGACAGAAAACCUAAAAUUGUCUUCCCAGCUUUAUUUUGUGUUAUAUCAAUACCCAGCUUCACUUUUUGUUGAGGACUAAAUGAGUUAAGACACUCGACUCACUGUGAGCAUUGCCAGACCUGGAAUAAACACGCUCAGUGAUUGUAGCCAUGUUAGCCUUUGGGGCUGAUACACAGGCAGAGAAAGCAGAUGCUGACUCAAGACUCUGGAAGCUGGAAUGAUGCGAAUUUUGAGGCAUGAGCUUUCCCCAUACUCGAGUUAAAUAUUGCUAUCUAAUGAUGCGUUGUGAGAGUAUCCUCCUAAAAGUGGAAUAUACACACUGGUCAUAUUUUGUGCAAUGCUUAGUGUACUGAGUGGUCUUCUGUCAGGCAGCAGAUCUCCAUAGAUCUCCCUUCAUUAGUACCUGCAGUGGGCAGCUCUUCUUGGGUGUGGCAUGAAGGGGAAGGCUUUUGCUCCUGGCCAAGCUUGCUCUGGUGUCAAAGAAACUGUUUGCAGUAAAUAGCUUGAAAUGAAGAUGAGAUUAAACAAACAUGCUUUAAAUCAACACAUGUCUGUUUCUAAUAUAUUUCUACUUGAUUAUUUAUUGGAAUAUGCAAGAAUACAAUGUUGUGAAAUCACUGAAUGGCUGAGAGUAUAAUUUCUAAUUCAAUUUCUUCAUCUUGCUGUUGGCAGUUGUUCCUCGGGCUCUGGGGAUGAAACAUUGAACUAUAAC